GACGAACGCUGGCGGCGUGCUUAACACAUGCAAGUCGAACGGAAAGGCCCUGCUUUUGUGGGGUGCUCGAGUGGCGAACGGGUGAGUAACACGUGAGUAACCUGCCCUUGACUUUGGGAUAACUUCAGGAAACUGGGGCUAAUACCGGAUAGGAGCUCCUGCUGCAUGGUGGGGGUUGGAAGGUUUCGGCGGUUGGGGUUGGACUCGCGGCUUAUCAGCUUGUUGGUGGGGUAGUGGCUUACCAAGGCUUUGACGGGUAGCCGGCCUGAGAGGGUGACCGGCCACAUUGGGACUGAGAUACGGCCCAGACUCCUACGGGAGGCAGCAGUGGGGAAUAUUGCACAAUGGGCGGAAGCCUGAUGCAGCAACGCCGCGUGCGGGAUGACGGCCUUCGGGUUGUAAACCGCUUUCGCCUGUGACGAAGCGUGAGUGACGGUAAUGGGUAAAGAAGCACCGGCUAACUACGUG
rnacentral:rRNA from 1 species